CUAAUGUUGUUCCGGUUUUUGUUCUUGUGAGCGAUGACAUCGAUUCGUUCCAAAUUUACACUCUCUGGCCAUAAUAGAACAAUUUAAUUAGGUUUUACGCUUUCUUCGAUAAAAUGAGAAAAAGCACUCGUUGCAAAGUUAUACUGUUAUGGCGCAACUGAGUAGUCUAAAGUUGUUCCGGUUUUUGUUCUUGUGAGCGUUGACAUCGAUUCGUUCCAAAUUUACACUCUCUGGGCAUAAUAGAACAAUAUAAUUAGGUUUUACGCUUUCUUCGAUAAAAUGAGAAAAAGUACUCGUUGCAAAGUUAUACUGUUAGGGCGCAACUGAAUAGUCUAAUGUUGCUCCGGUUUUUGUUCUGGUGAGCGUUGACAUCGAUUUGUUCCAAAUUUACCCUCUCUGGGCAUAAUAGAACAAUAUAAUUAGGGUUUACACUUUCUCCGAUAAAAUGAGAAAAAGUACACGUUGCAAAGUUAUACUGUUAGGGCGCAACUGAGUAGUCUAAUGUUGUUCCGGUUUUUGUUCUUGUGAGCGUUGAAAUCGAUUCGUUCCAAAUUUACACUCUCUGGUCAUAAUAGAAUAAUAUAACUAGGUUUUACGCUUUCUUCGAUAAAAUGAGAAAAAGUAUUCGUUGCAAAGUUAUACUGUUAGUGCGCAACUGAGUAGUCUAAUGUUGUUCUGGUUUUUGUUCUUGUGAGCGAUGACAUCGAAUCGUUCCAAAUUUACACUCUCUGGGCAUAAUAGAACAAUAUAAUUAGGUUUUACACUUUUCUUCGAUAAAAUGAGAAAAAAUACUCGUUGCAAAGUUAUACUGUUAGGGCGCAACUGAGAAGUCUAAUGUUGUUCCGGUUUUUGUUCUUGUGAGCGUUGACAUCGAUUCAUUCCAAAUUUACACUAUCUGGGCAUAAUAGAACAAUAUAAUUAGAUUUUACGGUUUCUUCGAUAAAAUGAAAAAAAGAACUCGUUGCAAAGUUAUACUGUUAUGGAGCAACUGAGUGGUCUAAUGUUGUUCCGAUUUUUGUUCUUGUGAGCGUUAACAUCGGAUCGUUCCAAAUUUACACUCUCUGGGCAUAAUAGAACAAUAUAAUUAGGUUUUACGCUUUCUUCGAUAAAAUGAGAAAAAGUACUCGUUGCAAAGUUAUACUGUUANA
rnacentral:lncRNA from 1 species